rnacentral:rRNA from 1 species
UGGGGAAUUUUGGACAAUGGGCGCAAGCCUGAUCCAGCAAUGCCGCGUGCAGGAUGAAGGCCUUCGGGUUGUAAACUGCUUUUGUCAGGGAAGAAACGAGUUUCUCUAAUACAGAGACUUAAUGACGGUACCUGAAGAAUAAGCACCGGCUAACUACGUGCCAGCAGCCGCGGUAAUACGUAGGGUGCGAGCGUUAAUCGGAAUUACUGGGCGUAAAGCGUGCGCAGGCGGUUAUAUAAGACAGAUGUGAAAUCCCCGGGCUCAACCUGGGACCUGCAUUUGUGACUGUAUAGCUAGAGUACGGUAGAGGGGGAUGGAAUUCCGCGUGUAGCAGUGAAAUGCGUAGAUAUGCGGAGGAACACCGAUGGCGAAGGCAAUCCCCUGGACCUGUACUGACGCUCAUGCACGAAAGCGUGGGGAGCAAACA